rnacentral:rRNA from 1 species
UACGGAGGGAGCUAGCGUUGUUCGGAUAUACUGGGCGUAAAGCGCACGUAGGCGGCGCCGCAAGUCAGGGGUGAAAUCCCGGAGCUCAACUCCGGAACUGCCCUUGAAACUGCAGUGCUAGAAUCCUGGAGAGGCGAGUGGAAUUCCGAGUGUAGAGGUGAAAUUCGUAGAUAUUCGGAAGAACACCAGUGGCGAAGGCGACUCGCUGGACAGGUAUUGACGCUGAGGUGCGAAAGCGUGGGGAGCAAAC